rnacentral:rRNA from 1 species
GAUGAACGCUAGCGACAGGCUUAACACAUGCAAGUCGAGGGGCAGCAGGGGAGUAGCAAUACUCCCGCUGGCGACCGGCGCACGGGUGAGUAACACGUAUGCAACCUGCCCUUGUCAGGGGGAUAAGCGGAAGAAAUUCCGUCUAAUACCGCAUAAUGCUGCGGGGAGACAUCUCCCUGCAGCCAAAGAUUUAUCGGACAAGGAUGGGCAUGCGGCGCAUUAGCUUGUUGGCGGGGUAACGGCCCACCAAGGCGACGAUGCGUAGGGGUUCUGAGAGGAAGGUCCCCCACACUGGUACUGAGACACGGACCAGACUCCUACGGGAGGCAGCAGUGAGGAAUAUUGGUCAAUGGCCGGGAGGCUGAACCAGCCAAGUCGCGUGAGGGAAGACGGUCCUAUGGAUUGUAAACCUCUUUUGUCAGGGAGCAAAAACUGCCACGUGUGGCAGGAUGAGAGUACCUGAAGAAAAAGCAUCGGCUAACUCCGUGCCAGCAGCCGCGGUAAUACGGAGGAUGCGAGCGUUAUCCGGAUUUAUUGGGUUUAAAGGGUGCGUAGGCGGACAGUUAAGUCAGCGGUAAAAUUGAGAGGCUCAACCUCUUCCCGCCGUUGAAACUGAUUGUCUUGAGUGGGCGAGAAGUAUGCGGAAUGCGUGGUGUAGCGGUGAAAUGCAUAGAUAUCACGCAGAACUCCGAUUGCGAAGGCAGCAUACCGGCGCCCAACUGACGCUGAAGCACGAAAGCGUGGGUAUCGAACAGGAUUAGAUACCCUGGUAGUCCACGCAGUAAACGAUGAAUACUAAUUGUUCGGGUCAAAUGAGAUCUGAGUGAUACAGCGAAAGCGUUAAGUAUUCCACCUGGGGAGUACGCCGGCAACGGUGAAACUCAAAGGAAUUGACGGGGGCCCGCACAAGCGGAGGAACAUGUGGUUUAAUUCGAUGAUACGCGAGGAACCUUACCCGGGCUCAAACGACACAGGAAUGAUCUGAGAAAUCAGGCAGUCCUCCGGGACCUGUGUCGAGGUGCUGCAUGGUUGUCGUCAGCUCGUGCCGUGAGGUGUCGGCUUAAGUGCCAUAACGAGCGCAACCCCCAUCGACAGUUGCCAGCAGGUCAAGCUGGGCACUCUGUCGAGACUGCCGGUGCAAGCUGUGAGGAAGGCGGGGAUGACGUCAAAUCAGCACGGCCCUUACGUCCGGGGCGACACACGUGUUACAAUGGCAGGUACAGCGGGAAGCCACCUGGCGACAGGGAGCGGAACCCGAAAGCCUGUCUCAGUUCGGAUUGGAGUCUGCAACUCGACUCCAUGAAGCUGGAUUCGCUAGUAAUCGCGCAUCAGCCACGGCGCGGUGAAUACGUUCCCGGGCCU